rnacentral:rRNA from 1 species
UACAGAGGUCUCAAGCGUUGUUCGGAUUCAUUGGGCGUAAAGGGCGCGUAGGCGGUCAGCACAAGUCAGUUGUGAAAUCUCCGGGCUUAACUCGGAAAGGUCAACUGAUACUGUGCGACUAGAGUGCGGAAGGGGCAACUGGAAUUCUCGGUGUAGCGGUGAAAUGCGUAGAUAUCGAGAGGAACACCUGCGGCGAAGGCGGGUUGCUGGGCCGACACGUGACGCUGAUGCGCGAAAGCCAGGGGAGCGAACGGG